rnacentral:rRNA from 1 species
AGAGUUUGAUCCUGGCUCAGGAUGAACGCUAGCUACAGGCUUAACACAUGCAAGUCGAGGGGCAUCAGGAAGAAAGCUUGCUUUCUUUGCUGGCGACCGGCGCACGGGUGAGUAACACGUAUCCAACCUGCCCUUUACUCGGGGAUAGCCUUUCGAAAGAAAGAUUAAUACCCGAUGGGAUAAUUAUUCCGCAUGGUUUGAUUAUUAAAGGAUUCCGGUAAAGGAUGGGGAUGCGUUCCAUUAGGUUGUUGGUGAGGUCACGGCUCACCAAGCCUUCGAUGGAUAGGGGUUCUGAGAGGAAGGUCCCCCACAUUGGAACUGAGACACGGUCCAAACUCCUACGGGAGGCAGCAGUGAGGAAUAUUGGUCAAUGGGCGCUAGCCUGAACCAGCCAAGUAGCGUGAAGGAUGAAGGCUCUAUGGGUCGUAAACUUCUUUUAUAUAAGAAUAAAGUGCAGUAUGUAUACUGUUUUGUAUGUAUUAUAUGAAUAAGGAUCGGCUAACUCCGUGCCAGCAGCCGCGGUAAUACGGAGGAUCCGAGCGUUAUCCGGAUUUAUUGGGUUUAAAGGGAGCGUAGGUGGACUGGUAAGUCAGUUGUGAAAGUUUGCGGCUCAACCGUAAAAUUGCAGUUGAUACUGUCAGUCUUGAGUACAGUAGAGGUGGGCGGAAUUCGUGGUGUAGCGGUGAAAUGCUUAGAUAUCACGAAGAACUCCGAUUGCGAAGGCAGCUCACUGGACUGCAACUGACACUGAUGCUCGAAAGUGUGGGUAUCAAACAGGAUUAGAUACCCUGGUAGUCCACACAGUAAACGAUGAAUACUCGCUGUUUGCGAUAUACAGUAAGCGGCCAAGCGAAAGCAUUAAGUAUUCCACCUGGGGAGUACGCCGGCAACGGUGAAACUCAAAGGAAUUGACGGGGGCCCGCACAAGCGGAGGAACAUGUGGUUUAAUUCGAUGAUACGCGAGGAACCUUA